rnacentral:rRNA from 1 species
GAUGAACGCUGGCGGCGUGCCUAAUACAUGCAAGUCGAGCGAACGGACGAGAAGCUUGCUUCUCUGAUGUUAGCGGCGGACGGGUGAGUAACACGUGGAUAACCUACCUAUAAGACUGGGAUAACUUCGGGAAACCGGAGCUAAUACCGGAUAAUAUUUUGAACCGCAUGGUUCAAAAGUGAAAGACGGUCUUGCUGUCACUUAUAGAUGGAUCCGCGCUGCAUUAGCUAGUUGGUAAGGUAACGGCUUACCAAGGCAACGAUGCAUAGCCGACCUGAGAGGGUGAUCGGCCACACUGGAACUGAGACACGGUCCAGACUCCUACGGGAGGCAGCAGUAGGGAAUCUUCCGCAAUGGGCGAAAGCCUGACGGAGCAACGCCGCGUGAGUGAUGAAGGUCUUCGGAUCGUAAAACUCUGUUAUUAGGGAAGAACAUAUGUGUAAGUAACUGUGCACAUCUUGACGGUACCUAAUCAGAAAGCCACGGCUAACUACGGU